GACGAACGCUGGCGGCGUGCUUAACACAUGCAAGUCGAACGGAAAGGCCCUGCUUUUGUGGGGUGCUCGAGUGGCGAACGGGUGAGUAACACGUGAGUAACCUGCCCUUGACUUUGGGAUAACUUCAGGAAACUGGGGCUAAUACCGGAUAGGAGCUCCUGCUGCAUGGUGGGGGUUGGAAAGUUUCGGCGGUUGGGGAUGGACUCGCGGCUUAUCAGCUUGUUGGUGGGGUAGUGGCUUACCAAGGCUUUGACGGGUAGCCGGCCUGAGAGGGUGACCGGCCACAUUGGGACUGAGAUACGGCCCAGACUCCUACGGGAGGCAGCAGUGGGGAAUAUUGCACAAGGGGCGGAAGCCUGAUGCAGCAACGCCGCGUGCGGGAUGACGGCCUUCGGGUUGUAAACCGCUUUCGCCUGUGACGAAGCGUGAGUGACGGUAUGGGUAAAGAAGCACCGGCUAACUACGUG
rnacentral:rRNA from 1 species